rnacentral:rRNA from 1 species
GAUGAACGCUGGCGGCGUGCCUAAUACAUGCAAGUCGAGCGAACAGACGAUGAGCUUGCUCCUCGGACGUUAGCGGCGGACGGGUGAGUAACACGUGGAUAACCUACCUAUAUGACUGAGAUAACUUCGGGAAACCGGAUCUAAUAGCGGAGAAUCUAUUGCACCGCAUGGGUCAAUAGAGAAAGACGGUUUUGCUGUCACUACUCGAGGGAUACGCGCCGCAUUAGCUAGUUGGUAAGGUAACGGCUUACCAAGGCAACGAUGCGUAACCGAACUGAGAGAGUGAUCGGCCACACUGGAACGGAGACGCCGACCAGACUCCUACGGGAGGCAGCAGUAGGGAACGUUCCGCAAUGGGCGAAAGCCUGACGGAGCAACGCCGCGCGAGUGAUGAAGGUCUUCGGAGCGUAAUACUGUGUUAUGAGGGAAGAACAACUUUGUAAGUAACUAUGCACGUCUUGACGGUACCUAAUCAGAAAGCCCCGGCUAACUACGUG